GCCAGAUCCAAUGGCGGAGGCAGUGGACGCCUUCCUGCAAGACUGGAGCGGAGGCCUCCUAUAUGCCUUUCCCCCAUUCUCCAUGAUCCCGUGCUCACUCCUGCAGACCCGCAAACACCGGUCAGAAGUGGUCAUGGUGACUCCCUUUUGGGAAACGCAGUCGUGGUUUCCCCAAAUGCUCGAGAUGACGAUGGACUAUCCCCGACUACUGCCAG